ACGGGCACAUCACGUUGAAACAUUGGUUCCCGUACGAUCACCAAAGUUAAGCAACACCGAUCCUGGUCAGUAUCUUGAUGGAUGACCGCUUGGGAAUGCCA